rnacentral:lncRNA from 10 species
GCAGUCUCUCCUGCUCUUCUCUCUCUUUCCUGGCGCCAUGUGAAGAAGGUCCUUGCUUCCCUUUCACCUUCCACCAUGACUGUAAGUUUCCUGAGGCCUCCACAGCCAUGCAGAACUGCUUAAUAAUUCUAAGAUGGCGGAUUAGUAAACUAUGGCCAGGAGUGUCCUUUAUUGUCUCUGAACAGGACAGAUACAAAGAAGGCCAAGCUACAGGCAAAAAGAUCAAUUUGGAGACAAUUGCUGUGGUCCAGCCAAUGCAUGAUAAAGGCCAGAUUUCUUAAGUUGAUGAUCAGAUAUUCAUUGGGGAAUCAUAUAUGAAUCAAGACUUCAACUCUAGGGAUACAGUGGAAAUGAAUGAGGUUGACCUGUGUGUUACCUGCUACCAACAUGUUACCCAGUCAUUUGGGCCAAUGAUCACCUGGAAUCUUGGUCUGCAUCAGUGCUAUCCAAAGUGUGUCAGAAGAACACCAUUAAUGUUACCAGAGGACUUGUCAGAAGUGCAAAUUUGUGGAUCCCCCAGAUAUGCUGAAUCAGAGUCUCUGACCCAGAAGUCUGCAUUACAACCAGAUCUCCAGGUGAUUUUUUUGUAUGCUAAAGUUUGAGAAACAUCAGCAUAGAGGACAAAGUGGGCAUCCCACAGAUACAUACAAAUAAAUGUGGAUGACUGACUAGACUUCAGUUUUCAUGUAAAAAUUUCAGUAAUACAUAACGUAGUAGUAGGAUAAGGAAAUCCUUUCUCAAAGUGACCUCACACUAUCUUACGUAAAUUUGUAGUCAUUUAGAAUAAAUUGUAAUGAGGUCAUAAAUUCUCAUGAAGUAGCUAGUAACAAAGGGACUUGAGGGUCCUACUGUCAGGAAGAGGGGCAGUGUCUGGUUCUUCCCCCUGAUCUAUACUGAGGAGAUUAACUGAAGUUUAGCUAUAUUUAAGUGUCAAGUUUAUGGAGUUAGGGUAUAAAACAAUGACCAAGAAAAGCUUGAUGAAAGUCAAGACCACAUCACUAAGCCCAAGUGAGAAACAGAGAAGUUAAAUUCAAAGGUAAAAUCGGGGGCAGUAAGGGUGAAAUCAAGUACAGGUUUCAAAGUCAAGAUAAAAAAUACUGAGGUCAAAGAUGGCACUACAAAACAGUUAGAAAAAAACAGGAUAUUGAACUAAACUCACAGGAGAAAAUUUGAGUCCCUGAAGUACCUGUUGAAAGAGCUUCUUCUAGAUGUAGCCUCCCACUCAAUUUGUCUUGAUUCCUUUUGUCUAUCCCAGGGCAAGGUCAUGCAACAAGUGGUAAAGCCAGGAAAUGAAAGCAAAGUUUCUCAAUUCUUCCAUUCAGCCAUAUUUCAACAUAUAAACACACAGCUUUAUGAGCACAAAACCUGGUAUUCCACUGAACUUCAAUCAUU